rnacentral:lncRNA from 1 species
CUCUUGCUUCUUGCUCUCUUGCUUCCUGCACCCUGGCUCCUGAAGAUGUAAGAAAUAAAGCUUUGCCGCAGAAGAUUCUGGUCUGUGGUGUUCUUCCUGGCCGGUCGUGAGAACGCGUCUAAUAACAAAAAACACAAAGCAAUGGAUUCCUUCAAAACUGAUAAAAGUCAGAUUUGAUAGAAGGAGAAUUCCAGAAGAUCUUGGCUGUAAAGAAGAAGAAAGAAAUCAGAAAGAUCAAUAAAGCAGAUAAAUUGUAUCACUGACCCCACACAUGGGAACAGGACCUUUGGUAUUCCCACUUUGGAGUUAUACACUAUCAACUCUUGACAGUGUUAAAUAUGGGAAAGAAAAGAAUACAGAAUGGAACUAGUGAGUGUUUGGAAUGUAAACUCAUCUGAUCAAACAUUUGUUGAGUUCCAACAGAGUCUGGCACGAGGGAGAAAAGAGUCAUGGGGCUCUGGUGCUCUCUCCUGCUGGGAAACACCUGUGACUGGGACCACUGGCCUGUUUGCCUUAACUGGAAUUUUACAAAGAAGUUUAAGAAUGCCUUUGACUUUUUCCUUUUAAAAGUCUUGUAAUCAGAUCUAUUUGGAGCAGAAGAAAUGCUCACACCACUAUUAUAUUAUUCAACUUAUUUUGUAUGGAAUGCAUGUAUGUUAGAAAAUGGAUGACUGCAUUUUCUCAUUUAAUAAUGCAAGUAUCUAGGAAAUACAAUAUAAGGCUUCAGUGUGAAGAACAAUCUAUAAAAUGUGUGUAUCAUAUUCAGGUUUUAUUUAGGAGAAAAAGAAGGUCAAAUAUAAUUGUCUUAAAUUUCAAAAUUUCACAGCUAAGGAGUGGGAACAGGUUUUAGUCUGACUCAUUGGAGUGUGAGCUUGCAACUGCUGCCCCUGGUAACAAAUGUGAGAAGAUUCUUCUUAUUAUUAAUCACAAGUAUUGUGUUGUGUUAUGAGUCCUUCUUCAGCUAUCAUAUACUUUAAAAAUAGUGAAUGUAAAAUAAAGGUAAAUGAUGUGGAGAAAGGAUAGC